rnacentral:rRNA from 1 species
AGAUUGAACGCUGGCGGCAGGCCUAACACAUGCAAGUCGAGCGCGAAAGUUCCUUCGGGAAUGAGUAGAGCGGCGGACGGGUGAGUAACGCGUAGGAAUUUGCCCAGUAGUGGGGGACAACUCGGGGAAACUCGAGCUAAUACCGCAUACGCCCCAAGGGGGAAAGCAGGGGAUCUUCGGACCUUGCGCUAUUGGAUAAGCCUGCGUCGGAUUAGCUAGUUGGUGGGUAAGGCCUACCAAGGCAACGAUCCGUAGCUGGUCUGAGAGGAUGAUCAGCCACACUGGGACUGAGACACGGCCCAGACUCCUACGGGAGGCAGCAGUGGGGAAUAUUGGACAAUGGGGGCAACCCUGAUCCAGCCAUGCCGCGUGUGUGAAGAAGGCCUUAGGGUGUAAAGCACUUUCAGUGGGAGAAAAGCGUGGCGGCUAAGUAUACCGUCGGCCCUGACGUUACCCACAGAAGAAGCACCGGCAAACUCCGUGCCAGCCAGCCGC